AAACAAGGAUAAAAACGCAAUGUGCAUUGCUAAAUGUACUAGAGCCGGCUGGUAGCCCGGCCGUCCUAUGCAAAUAGGGUAAGUAACCUGCCCCUCCGGGUUGUCCAUUCUUUGUUCAUU
rnacentral:ncRNA from 1 species